UGGGGAAUAUUGCACAAUGGGCGCAAGCCUGAUGCAGCCAUGCCGCGUGUGUGAAGAAGGCCUUCGGGUUGUAAAGCACUUUCAGCGGGGAGGAAGGCGUUAAGGUUAAUAACCUCGGCGAUUGACGUUACCCGCAGAAGAAGCACCGGCUAACUCCGUGCCAGCAGCCGCGGUAAUACGGAGGGUGCAAGCGUUAAUCGGAAUUACUGGGCGUAAAGCGCACGCAGGCGGUUUGUUAAGUCAGAUGUGAAAUCCCCGGGCUCAACCUGGGAACUGCAUCUGAUACUGGCAAGCUUGAGUCUCGUAGAGGGGGGUAGAAUUCCAGGUGUAGCGGUGAAAUGCGUAGAGAUCUGGAGGAAUACCGGUGGCGAAGGCGGCCCCCUGGACGAAGACUGACGCUCAGGUGCGAAAGCGUGGGGAGCAAACAGG
rnacentral:rRNA from 1 species